AGUGAACGCUGGCGGUAGGCCUAACACAUGCAAGUCGAACGGCAGCACAGUAAGUGCUUGCUCUUACGGGUGGCGCGUGGCGGACGGGUGAGGAAUACAUCGGAAUCUACUUUUUCGUGGGGGAUAACGUAGGGAAACUUACGCUAAUACAGCAUACGUCCUACGGGUGAAAGCAGGGGAUCUUCGGACCUUGUGCGAUUGAAUGAGCCGGUGUCGGAUUAGCUAGUUGGCGGGGUAAAGGCCCACCAAGGCGCCGAUCGGUAGCGGGUCUGAGCGCAUGGACAGGCAGAUGGGAACUGAGACACAGCCCAGACACCUAGGGGAGGAAGCAGUGGGGAAUAUUGGACGAGGGGGGAAAGGCUGAUCCAGCGAAACGGGGGAGAGGAUGAAGGCGCUAGGCUGGGAGAACGCUGAAGUUGGGAAAGAAGAGAAGCUGGUUAACACCCCGCGAUACUGACGGUACCCAAAGAAGAAGCACCGGCUAACUUCGUG
rnacentral:rRNA from 1 species